rnacentral:rRNA from 1 species
GGAAAGAAGUGCGCGUGAGCUCAUCUGUCCCUGGAUGUGACGGCACCCUCAAAAGAAUCACCGGAUAUCUCCGUGCCAGCAGCCGCGGUAAUACGGGGGGUGCAAGCGUUGUUCGGAUUUAUUGGGCGUAAAGCGCGUGUAGGCGGUUUUAUAAGUCUGAUGUGAAAGCCCUGGGCUCAACCCGGGAAGUGCAUUGGAUACUGUAAGACUUGAAUACGGGAGAGGGUAGUGGAAUUCCUAGUGUAGGAGUGAAAUCCGUAGAUAUUAGGAGGAACACCGGUGGCGAAGGCGGCUACCUGGACCGAUAUUGACGCUGAGACGCGAAAGCGUGGGUAGCAAACAGGAUUAGAUACCCUGGUAGUCCACGCCGUAAACGAUGAGAACUAGGUGUUGCGGGUAUUGACCCCUGCAGUGCCGUAGCUAACGCAUUAAGUUCUCCGCCUGGGAAGUCGGUCGCAAAGACUAAAACUCAAA